UUUUUUAUAGUGUAAAGUAACACACUACAUUUUCGUUGUAGAGAUGAAGAUAUUAAUUCUUCUAUAAAUA
rnacentral:tRNA from 1 species